GAUGGCAUAGUUCUUCCGCAUGGUAGAACUAUUAAAGAAUUUCGGUCAUCGAUGGGGAUGCGUUCCAUUAGGUUGUUGGCGGGGUAACGGCCCACCAAGCCUUCGAUGGAUAGGGGUUCUGAGAGGAAGGUCCCCCACAUUGGAACUGAGACACGGUCCAAACUCCUACGGGAGGCAGCAGUGAGGAAUAUUGGUCAAUGGACGAGAGUCUGAACCAGCCAAGUAGCGUGAAGGAUGACUGCCCUAUGGGUUGUAAACUUCUUUUAUACGGGAAUAAAGUGAGGCACGUGUGCCUUUUUGUAUGUACCGUAUGAAUAAGGAUCGGCUAACUCCGUGCCAGCAGCCGCGGUAAUACGGAGGAUCCGAGCGUUAUCCGGAUUUAUUGGGUUUAAAGGGAGCGUAGGCGGACGCUUAAGUCAGUUGUGAAAGUUUGCGGCUCAACCGUAAAAUUGCAGUUGAUACUGGGUGUCUUGAGUACAGUAGAGGCAGGCGGAAUUCGUGGUGUAGCGGUGAAAUGCUUAGAUAUCACGAAGAACUCCGAUUGCGAAGGCAGCCUGCUGGACUGUAACUGACGCUGAUGCUCGAAAGUGUGGGUAUCAAACAGGAUUAGAUACCCUGGUAGUCCACACAGUAAACGAUGAAUACUCGCUGUUUGCGAUAUACAGUAAGCGGCC
rnacentral:rRNA from 1 species